rnacentral:rRNA from 1 species
GACGAACGCUGGCGGCGUGCUUAACACAUGCAAGUCGAACGGAAAGGCCCUGCUUUUGUGCGGUGCUCGAUUGGCGAACGGGGGAGUAACACGUGAGUAACCUGCCCUUGACUUUGGGAUAACUUCAGGAAACUGGGGCUAAUACCGGAUAGGAUCUCCUGCUGCAGGGUGGGGGUGGGAAAGUUUCGGCGGUUGGGGAUGGACUCGCGGCUGAUCAGCUUGUUGGUGGGGGAGUUGCUGACCAAGGGUUUGACGGAUAGCCGGCCGGGGAGGGUGGACGGCCACAUUGGGCCUGCGAUAGGGAGCAGUCUGGAAUGGGGGGCAGCAGGGGGGAAUAUUGCCCAAUGAGCGGGAGCCUGAUGCAGCGACGCCGCGUGCGGGAUGCCGGCCUUCGGGUUGUAAACCGCUUUCGCCUGUGACCAAGCGUUAGUGACGGUAAUGGAUAAAGAAGCACCGGCUAACUACGUG